UAACUUCGGUUAAUUUUAGUGGCGGACGGGUGAGUAACACGUGAGAAUUCGCCUUUAGGAGGGGGAUAACGGAUGGAAACAUUCGCUAAAACCCCAUAUGCCCCUGGGUGAAACAGAGGAGAUAAGUAAUACUGACUCUUACCUCUGCCUGAAGAGAAGCUCGCGGCUGAUUAGCUAGUUGGUAGGGUAAAGGGCUACCAAGGCGACGAUCAGUAGCUGGUCUGAGAGGACGAUCAGCCACACUGGAACUGAGACACGGUCCAGACUCCUACGGGAGGCAGCAGUGAGGAAUUUUCUGCAAUGGGCGAAAGCCUGACAGAGCAAUACCGCGUGAGGGAUGAAGACUUACUGAGUUGUAAACCUCGGUACCUUAAGGAAGAAGAUCUGACGGUACUUAAGGUGGAAAGCAUCGGCUAACUCCGUGCCAGCAGCCGCGGUAAGACGGGGGAUGCAAGUGUUAUCCGGAUUUACUGGGCGUAAAGCGUCUGCAGGUGGUUUUCUAAGUCUACUGUUAAAUCUUGAGGCUCAACCUCAAAUCUGCAGUAGAAACUAGAAGACUUGAGUAUAGUAGGGGUAGAGGGAAUUUCCAGUGGAGCGGUGAAAUGCGUAGAUAUUGGAAAGAACACCGAUGGCGAAGGCACUCUACUGGGCUAUUACUGACACUCAGAGACGAAAGCUAGGGGAGCAAAUGGGAUUAGAUACCCCAGUAGUCCUAGCCGUAAACGAUGGAUACUCGAUGUUGGACGUAUCAACCCGUUCAGUAUCUUAGCUAACGCGUUAAGUAUCCCGCCUGGGGGAGUACGCUCGCAAGAGUGAAACUCAAAGGGAAAUUGACGGGGGGCCCGCACAAGCGGUGGAGGAUGUGGUUUUAAUUCCGAUGCAACCGCGAAGAACCUUUACCAGGGUUUGCCUAGAAGUGUUGGGUUUUCUGAAAAGAAUUCCCUUAUUCCCGCUUCUAC
rnacentral:rRNA from 1 species